rnacentral:rRNA from 1 species
AUUGAACGCUGGCGGCAGGCCUAACACAUGCAAGUCGAACGAGUGGCGGACGGGUGAGUAAUGUCUGGGAAACUGCCUGAUGGAGGGGGAUAACUACUGGAAACGGUAGCUAAUACCGCAUACCAUCGGAUGUACCCAGAUGGGAUUAGCUAGUUGGUGGGGUAACGGCUCACCUAGGCGACGAUCCCUAGCUGGUCUGAGAGGAUGACCAGCCACACUGGAACUGAGACACGGUACAGACUCCUACGGGAGGCAGCAGUGGGGAAGAUUGCACAAUGGGCGCAAGCCUGAUGCAGCCAUGCCGCGUGUAUGAAGAAGGCCUGAGGGUUGUCAAGUACUUUCAGCGGGGAGGCGUUACCCGCAGAAGAAGCACCGGCUAACUCCGUGCCAGCAGCCGCGGUAAUUC